UGCAGUCGCACGGCAGCACGGGAGCUUGCUCCUGGUGGCGAGUGGCGAACGGGUGAGUAAUGCGUCGGAACGUGCCGAGUAGUGGGGGAUAACUAUCCGAAAGGAUAGCUAAUACCGCAUACGCUCUGAGGAGGAAAGCAGGGGAUCUUAGGACCUUGCGCUAUUUGAGCGGCCGACGUCUGAUUAGCUAGUUGGUGAGGUAAAGGCUCACCAAGGCAUCGAUCAGUAGCGGGUCUGAGAGGAUGAUCCGCCACACUGGGACUGAGACACGGCCCAGACUCCUACGGGAGGCAGCAGUGGGGAAUUUUGGACAAUGGGCGCAAGCCUGAUCCAGCCAUGCCGCGUGUCUGAAGAAGGCCUUCGGGUUGUAAAGGACUUUUGUCAGGGAGGAAAUCCCUAGCGCUAAUAUCGCUGGGGGAUGACAGUACCUGAAGAAUAAGCACCGGCUAACUACGUGCCAGCAGCCGCGGUAAUACGUAGGGUGCAAGCGUUAAUCGGAAUUACUGGGCGUAAAGCGUGCGCAGGCGGUUGUGUAAGUCUGAUGUGAAAGCCCCGGGCUCAACCUGGGAACUGCAUUGGAGACUGCACAGCUAGAGUGCGUCAGAGGGGGGUAGAAUUCCGCGUGUAGCAGUGAAAUGCGUAGAGAUGCGGAGGAAUACCGAUGGCGAAGGCAGCCCCCUGGGAUGACACUGACGCUCAUGCACGAAAGCGUGGGGAGCAAACAGGAUUAGAUACCCCUGGUAGUCCACGCCCUAAACGAUGUCAACUAGCUGUUGGGGGUUUGAAUCCUUGGUAGCGUAGCUAACGCGAGAAGUUGACCGCCUGGGGAGUACGGCCGCAAGGUUAAAACUCAAAGGAAUUGACGGGGACCCGCACAAGCGGUGGAUGAUGUGGAUUAAUUCGAUGCAACGCGAAAAACCUUACCUGGUCUUGACAUGUACAGAACUUUCCAGAGAUGGAUUGGUGCCCGAAAGGGAGCUGUAACACAGGUGCUGCAUGGCUGUCGUCAGCUCGUGUCGUGAGAUGUUGGGUUAAGUCCCGCAACGAGCGCAACCCUUGCCAUUAGUUGCUACCAUUUAGUUGAGCACUCUAAUGGGACUGCCGGUGACAAACCGGAGGAAGGUGGGGAUGACGUCAAGUCCUCAUGGCCCUUAUGACCAGGGCUUCACACGUCAUACAAUGGUCGGUACAGAGGGUAGCCAAGCCGCGAGGUGGAGCCAAUCUCAUAAAACCGAUCGUAGUCCGGAUCGCACUCUGCAACUCGAGUGCGUGAAGUCGGAAUCGCUAGUAAUCGCAGAUCAGCAUGCUGCGGUGAAUACGUUCCCGGGUCUUGUACACACCGCCCGUCACACCAUGGGAGUGAGUUUCACCAGAAGUGGGUAGGCUAACCGUAAGGAGGCCGCUAC
rnacentral:rRNA from 1 species